CUUCCACUCCUCGAUGCCCCCAACCAAUUCCUGGGCAAUCACUGAUCUGCUGUCACCAUAGAUGAGUUUGCAUUUUCUAGAAUUUUACGUAAAUGGAAUCAUACACCUUUUUGAAUGGCUUCUUUGAAACAACGUAAUUGUUUUGAGGUUCAUUAGCGUUGUUGUAUCAAUACUAUAUUCCUUUUCAUCACUAAGUAGUAUUCUGUUGUAUGCACAAACCAUUAUUUGUUUACCCGUUCAUGUGUUGAUGGACAUUUGGGCAGGUUCAAGUUCAUUUCUCUUGGGUAAAUAUGUAAGAGUUGAAAAGCUGAGUCAUAUGGUAGGUAUAUAUAUUUAACAUUUUAAGUAUGUUGAGCCAAACUACCAAACUGGCUGAUCGUUUUACACUUCCAUAGCAAAGUAUGACAGUUUCAGUAGCUCCACGUGCUUGGUAUGGUCAACACUUGGUGUGCUCAGUUUAUUUAGUUAUAGCCAUUCUGAUAGGUUGUAGUGAUUUUCGUUUGUAUUUCCCUAAUGACUAAUGAUGCUGAGCCCCUCUUCAUUUGCCUAAUUGCCGCCCAUAGAUCUACUUUAGUGAAGUGUCCAAAUCUUUUGUCCAAUUUUAAAAUUGAAGUUCUUUGUUUUCUUGUUAUUGAACUUUUAGAAUUUUUUAUAUAUUCUGGGUAUAACUUCUUUGUCAGAUAUGUGAUUUGUAAGUAUUUUCUCCUAGUCCUUUCAUUCUCCUAAGAAUUUCUUUCAAAGAGCAGAAGUUUUAAUGAAUUCCAAUUUACCAUUUCUUUUCUUUUAUAGAUCUUGUUGUGUCUAAGGAGUCUUUGCCUAACCAAACAUUCAGAAAAUUUUCAGUGUUUUCUCAGAAGCUUCAUGGUUUCAGUUCUUACUUUUGGGUCUAUGAUCUAUUUUGGGCUAAUUUUGGUACCUUGAGGGAGGUGUGGCUCAAAAUACAGGUUUGGUCCAGUUGACAAAUAGGAACUCAGAAGAAGAAAAUAGAGAGAAUGAUGGAAAGGAAAUAUUUGUAAAGUUAUUGACUAAGAAUUUUCCAUAUUUGUGAAAUGUGUUCAUCUACCAAUUCAGAAAACAAAAUAGGUUCUAACAGGACAAAUUAAAAAUCCCCAUUUUCCCAUUAGACUGCUAUCUCUUUUAUUUAUAGGAUUUCCUUGAGUAUUUUAGAUGAUAAUCCCUUGUUGACUUUAGACAUUGCAAAUAUUUUUCCCCUAUGAUAUCUACUUAUUAUCUCUGGAGUCCUUCACAGUGCAAAAGUUACCAAUUUUGAAGGAAUCAAGUUCAUCAGUUAUUUGCCUCAUGGCCAGUAUUGGAGUUUUCUUGAGUCCUUUCCUACCCCGAGGUCACAGAGAUAUCACCUCCGUUUUCCUCUGCUCUUGUUAUGGUUUUGCCUUUAUUUUUAGGUCUUUAAAGUCCCUGGCAUCCACUUCUUUCUAUGAUGUUAAGUAGGGAUCCAGUCUUACCACCCAGCCUCCCUACUGAACAAUCUGAGCGUCCUCCCAUUGGUAGGGUAACUUACUCCCUCUUUACGCAUCUUCUUCCAGGGAAAUUUAUCAAGGCUCAAAAAGCUCAACGGAAAUUUGUGUUCAAAUUGCAUCAAAUGCAUGGAUUAAUUUGGGGAGAUUUGCCGUCCUUAUAACAUUGUCAUCCCUUCCAACAGCAUGAAAUAUCCAUUUAUUAGGAUUGCUGGUUAGAGAAACACUGUUGAUAUUUGUGGGUUGAGCUGGUAUGAACACUUCUAUGAGUUCUAAUAUUUUAGCAAUGGAUUCUUGUGUUUAUCUGGAUCACGUUAACUGGGAAUGAUGACAUUUUUAUUUCUUCCGUUGUAAUUCGUACACAACCUCUUUCCUGACAUGGAAACUCUAGCACUGUGUUAAAUAGUAGCAGGAUAGUGGACACAUUUGUUUCCAGCUUUAAAGGCAAUCCAUCUAAUGUUUUUCCAUUCAGUAUGAUGUUUGUAUAGAUUUUUGUUAUAUGACCCUUACAAGGUUAAGAAAGUCUCCUUUUAGUUCUAAUUUGUUGAACUUUAUCUAAUGUUUUUUCUGUGUCCAUUGAAAUAUAUGAAUUUGAUGAAUAAUAGACACAGUUUAAAU
ensembl:lncRNA